GGAUCACAUGUUUCCUAUGUUACACAUUCCGCCCCCCCUUCUGCCUGUCCCCCUCCCUCCCCCCCUUCGGGCAUCUCCACCCCUCCAUCAAUUGUCAAUGUUCCUCGACCGCAAUCAAUCAGUUAUUUGUCAGCUCUUGUCAAUCCGCCCGUGAUUUAUGUCAGCUUUUGUUGCUGAUUACAAGGCGGGUGCGACUUGAAGAGAAAAAGAGGGAGAGGGAGAGAGACAGAGACAGAGAGGAAGAGACCGAAAGGGAACCGGAGGAGGGGAAAAGGAAAGCAGUCGCGGCCGCUUAAUGGAAACGGGGCGGUUGGGGGGGGGGGGAGGAGGGUGUUCACGGGUGGAGAAAAAAAGACGGAGAAGAAAAAAAAGAUGUUCUGUUUCAGGAAAAUAAAUCGUAAGAGUAAACUGCGCGUUCGAUCUCAGAGCGCUGAGAAGGGCAAAGAGGGGCCUUCGCACCUUCUCUUUAGAGCCUUGCAUUUCUGGAGAGCGGGGGUUCUGGGAAAGGGGAGAUUUCUAACCGGGGAGAUUUCUUCUCCGAAUACGUCACGGGGUAGCAAGUUCAGUAGGGUAGUAGUGGUGGAUUGACCCUGACAUCUCUCCCCACCCUUUCCCCCUCCCGCACCUCAACGUCCUAGUUCCAAGCAUAAGAUGGAAGGAAGUACUCUGUCCAUUUCGGCUUCUGGGCCAUAAACUCGGAGCCGCGCCUCCUAAGACACUAUUCCCAGGAGGCUGAAAAUGGAGGGUCCUGGAGGACUUUAUGAGUGGGUCCCGUUCAUUCCCUUACACCGUCUCCCGGGUCUAGUUUUCCGCCGCAUCUUCACAAGUCAAUUGUGGGUAGAAAAGGGUCGUUAGGGAGAGAGUUAGCGUCCCAGGUCCUUUCAGCUGCUAGGAAGUUUUCGGGUCCCUGUCUCGCCUCUCCUCUUCCCUUCAGCCGCAGAAUGCCUAUCUUUGGUGAAUUAAUUGAUUGCUUGCAGACACGUUUUCCGAAGCCCUUCGGGUUAGUGACCUGCCUGGAGACUGGAUGGGGUGUAAGUCGCACUGGUUCUAGGGGGACUACGUUUUUCCAGACCGCGAAAGAACGCUGACAGUUCUGCUUUCUCCCCAGACCCGGAUACAGAGAGAACAGGCAGUCGUGCUCAGGACGCGGGGCUCAGAAUUUCUCAGUCGGCAGAGCAGGGCAGAGCACACCGGCUCAGCCUCAGGCUUCGAGGGAGGCGGGACAAGGAUUGCUCGACAGUUUUUCUUCGGUGCCAAUGAAAAGGAAAUCAAGCCUUGACCUCCCCAGUGGAAAAAAAUAAAAACUGAAAUCAACAAUAGCAAAGCCCCCUCUGGAUUUUCAGACCAUGAUCCUGCCUUCUCAUCCUCGUAAGUUUCCAGCCGAGUUUGGGGAAGAGCUUUUUAAAGAAACAACGUUGGCACGACAUAGGGGGCCGGGGCAGGAAGAGAGAUAUCCGCGGGGAGUGUGUGAUAGGAGUGUGUGUGUGUGGGGGGGGGGGGAGCAGCGGAGGGAGGAAGGGAGGGACAGGAUGGAUACUCUGGGAAGGGUUUGGUCACCCCGGGUCACGGGUAGAGUCUGUCGGGAAUAAAUUCAUAGAUAUCCCUCUCUUCUGCCUUGCCUUCUCUUUCUCUUCGUUCUCUUGCUUCCUUUUUUUCUGUCCUUAGGAGGGGGGAAAAAAGGUUGCAAAUAGACAUUUAUUGCCGAGA